rnacentral:lncRNA from 1 species
UCUCUCUCUCUUAGAUGUGAAGGAUGGUAUUUGAUGUAUCGGCUUUCGAAGAUAUUGUUGAGAUUUAUUGUCAAGUUUCAAUCCAAUUAGGAUUUUAUUUUCAAUUGGUCAUUGAUUUUUGUGACUUUAUGAUUCUAUUUCUGGUAUUACUUUAUUUAAUUAUUUUCUUCUAAAAGUUGUUAGAAUUUGUAUCAUAAUAGAUCU